AACAGUCAUAUUUCCUACAAUACUUGGAGUUUUUGACUCUACUUUUUUUUAUAUGAAACUAGACUCGAAGACCUUUCUUUUGGUAUGAGUCUCGAGUCCAAGAAGUGUCGGAGUCAGAACAGGUUAGAUUUUGAAGUUGAGUCAGUGUAAACACAGAGCAUGUUUUGAUAAUGUUUGAUUGUGUUUUCUUAUGGGCCUUAGGUGAUUGUGUUGUCUAUGUGUUUGAAUGAGAUUAGAAGAGCCUUAUAUGAGAGACAAAUCGAGACUUAGAACCAUGAUUUUUCUUGAAACCUAUCCUUGAACUUAAGGAUUUGAGAUGAGUGGAGAGUUUAUAUAGAGUUGAGUAAGGAGAUAAAAUAUGAGAUAGAGCAUAAGUUUCCUUUCAUGUCUCUGAUAAUCAUAAGUUUUUGAUGUCGAGUCUAGAAUAGUAUCUCUAGACUUCUAAGAAUGUCAGUAACCCUCAGCUCGCCGUCACACUGCCGCAACAAAGGUACAAUAAUAGUUUCAAAAAUAUACAUAUAUGUAUUUCAGAUGUUAUGAAAGUUUUUCAAGAAAAUGUGCGCCUUAUGUUUACGAUGCUAUGUGAAUGCUUUUUGUCGUGUUUGGGACUACCCGAACCCAUAACGACUCAAUGAAUGUAUUUCGUGUUUGGGACAACCCGAGCCCUUAACGAAUCAUUGUAUGUAUGUAUGUAUGGUCGAGUUAGAUUCCUUGAAUCUUUCCGGCAUAAGCAAAGUUUUCAUGAAAGGGACAUUAAAUGUCCAUAUAUGUUAAGGUUUCAAAAGAAACAGAAGUAUGUAUGUAUGAAAGAAUGAGAAAGCUUUAUGUUGUCGUUUUAGGCUAGCUGCCUAUACGAUUAGAAUGAUGGGUCCUCUUACAAGCCGUUUGAGUACCACCCAAGAAUGCUUUGAGAAUGUUAAUCGUGAUAGCACCGCUUGAUCGAUUUAAGUAAAGACUGGUAAGAUAGAAAUGUUUAACAUAGAGAUGUUACAACAUAAAGGCAAUGCUUUAAGACUAAGGAUUCACUUGAGCUAUUUCAAUAGCGGUGAGAUUAAGUUUUUCACAUAAGAACUUAUGUUGCUUAUAAUUAUGAUGUUAGUCGUGAUAGCUUGGCUAGAACAACAUAGAAUGGACUUUCAUGGUAUCAGUAACUUAUGAUGAAGUACUUAUUAGUAAGUGCUUUAAGUUAGAAGUUGACUUAGAGCUUUAUAAGAGAUAAGAAGUUGACAUGAUUGGGGGCGAAGCUCCCAUUUGACUGAGUGAUUCAUCGUGCUGGGUCUGGUCAGCCCAUAUAACUAAGAUCUCGGUGAUUGUCAAUUAGGAUUUUGAUCCUGAGUAGGGCGUCAUCCCAAUGUAUAGACUCACACUAUGUAGUUGUCACAAUAAGAUCUUAUUUUACCACGAUAAGCACAGUAAUGACUAGAAUGACUUAGUUGCUGUCAGUUCUCGAAGUACUAGAAGGUGAUAUUCUCACAGUUAGAAAGAUACACUAAGCAUCAACCUAUCUUUUGACUGACAGUCGGUAUAAACAAAGCAACUUCUGGAAUCCCAAGUGGAGAACCAGGGCAGAUAACUAGUAUGAUAGAGUUUUCAACAAAAUGUCAGGACGUGCUCCAAAUGUGGGGGACACUUAUGAGAAACGCGUGAAGGAGUUCGCAAACGAAUGGCGUCAUGAGAUAUUCAAUUCCCCUACCAAGCCAAAGAAAUAUUACGUAGGAGCAACCAACGAGCAAGACUCUCACCAUCGAAUCACUGCUACCAAGGGAGAAUGGGAAGACUCCGACACAAUCUGGAUAUACACCACCUCAAGAUGUGGUGAAGGAAAGAAAAUGGAAUGAAGAAAACAACAGAAAAUUUGAGAAUAGAAAAAGAACUUUAGAAUAAGACUUAAGAUCCAACCCAGCCUCAGAGCCAACAACAUCACACUAGAAGGGUGAUUGUUUCGGCUAAAGUGUCAAAAGCUCCAUCAAUAGGAAUGUUCAAAGGAAGCAAGUAUUUGUUUUAAACUUCAGAGAACUUGAGCACUAUGUCUCAUUAGCCCCAAAGUUGAAUUACUUGACUUAUGACUUAGAACUCGUUGUGGUUGUGCACGUGUUGGAAAUUUGGAGAUACUAUCUCUACGGAGUUAAGUGUGAGGUCCUUAUAGCUGACAAGAAUUUGAAGUGCUUUUUCGAGCAAAGAGAUUUCAAUGUAAGACAACAGAGACGAUUCGAAUUAGUGAAGAAUUAUGAUGGUACCAUCAAUUGGAAAUUAAGAUAAGAUGUUUCACCACUAAAUAUAAAGUACUGAUUGGUGAUUGCCUUAUUCGGUUUAGUAAUUGUUCACCAUCCGGAGACAAUAUCAAGCUGUGUAGUUGCAUCAAUAGUUAAGUGUGAAUUGCAAGAAAGGAUUAUGAAAGCACGAAAUGAAAAUGGAUAUUGGUGAGAAAAUGUGUCUCGCCUCAAGAAUAAGAAAAACGAAAGGAUUCACGAAAGUCAGGAAUAGUGCACUAAUGGUUAGUGGAGGAUUGUGGAUGUAUACACUGAAUAUUACGUCUCGCAGUUAAGAAAGUAUGUGAUUAAGAACGAUGAGAUAGUCCAAGCUCAGGGCUUAAGUUAUGAAGAGAAAUCAGUUUAGUGACUAGAUUGCAAUGUUCAAGUGUUACGAGGCAAUAAUAUUGUUCUCGUCAUGUAGUGGAACCAUCACAGGAUGGAAAAGGCUACAAAAGAGAUGAAUGAAACGAGUGACUAGUAUCACAAGCUAGAAUACCAGGUAUGCAAAUUUCGGGACGAAAUUUAUUUUAAGGGGGGUAGUAUGUAAUGCCCCGCUCUUUUAAAUAUAUAUUAGAUUAAACAUGUGCAUUAGUUAUAAAAUUCUUUUAAUUAUUUAUUGUGACUAUUUUAUUCAGAUAAUAUUAUUUCAGCAAAAGUCUGUAUAAGAGAUACAGAGCUGCGAUUUAAUAUUCAAUCAUGAAUCAAACCAAUAAUUAAAUUAUUGGUUUAGCUACACGUUUGAGACCUUGCAUUACCAGUUGAUUGAUUUAAUCAAUAGUAUUAGAAAUUUUAGAUUUAUAACCGAUUUCAUAAAUCGUGUUAUUUAAAUCGAAUUGUUAGAAUUAUAACUUGAGCUUAUGUGAAUAAUAAUUUUAUUAUUUCACGCUAUAUGUGUUUAGUAUUAAGUCGCGAAUUAAUUUCGACUUUCACGUAUUAAAUCUCAAGAUUGAGGAUUUAAUUUAUAUAAAUACGACGAGUAUUUAUUAAACGAGAAUUGGAGAAUUAUUACAGGAACUAUGAGAAAUUAGAUCACGAUAAAUAGUCGAAUCACUACACUAUUACACCAACCCCUCCAACAUAUAUGUAACACCCGGUAUUUUCACUACAGUAUAUGUUAUUAAUAUUAUUUUCUAUUUUCUAUUAUUUAAAAGAAGAAAGAGAAGUAGAAUCACUGAGAUGAGAUGAGAUAUUAUUAGUCGACUUAUUGCUCGACUAAUUGAAGUGACGAAUAUUAUUUAAUUAUUUAUCUAUGAGCUUUCUUAUUUUAAUAUUAUAUAGUGAAGGGAUAUUUACAAGGUUAGCUUAUGAAGGAAGAUUUUCUCCUCCUUUUCUUCCAACAAAGUCGUCCCCUUUCCUCUGCCAAACCCUUAGUUUGUUUUUUUUUAAUUUCUUUGAUUUCAAGAGGCACUCCAAUUAUACAAGAGGUUAUCCAAUAGCGCCACUGCUCGGAGCUUGCUCGACGUGCCGCGACGUCUCAUCUCUCCCGACGAAGCGGAAGCUGCCGUUGCUCUGGUUCGAUGAUGCUGCGUCUUUCUUGGCCGGGAAUCGACGCGCCACCGUUGCUCCCUCCUCGGUUCUCUCUCUUUACAACUCAAGGGAGGGUGGGGUCUUCUUCUAGGCUGAGCCCUAGCUGCACUUCCUCGUUAAUCGCCAUCGCCGUGUUCUGGAUUCUAGCAGCGAAAGUUACGCCGCUGCUGUUCCUGGCAAUUCCCAUCUUCUCGUCGCUCGGCGUCGAUCCACGGCUCACCCCCAUGGAACAGGGACCGCUGCCUUCCCUUAAUCACCUAAAGCUAAGCCCUUCUUCCUCUUUAUGUUCUAUGGGGUAAAUUCAAAUGAUGUUGUUGUGUACUAGUUAACCCUAGUGGAGUUGUGGCUCUCCUUGCUUGUUCAUAAGUGAAUUUGGGCAUUCUUGAGGUAAGAUAGCUAAAUAUUUGAUGCUUAUGUAAUUGAACUCUUGGGAGCGUGGAAUGUGAUUAUGUGAUAAAAAUUGGGGGAUAUUGGGCAUGUUACUAUGUGUUGAGCCAAUUUUGAUUUAUGAAUAAGGGAAGAACUACUUUUAGUAUUGAUUGGAGAAGUUGUGGUGAUUAAUUGUGUUAUAACUUGCUUGCUUUGUGUUGAUGAGUUAAACAUGAGUUAAAUUUCAAGCUAAAGCAUGCUAAUGUGUAGUAAGAUGAUGUAAUUGAGUUCCUAUGGUUUGUAUUUGACAAACGUAUGAAUUAUAUGUUAAGUUGAAACAAAGGGGCUUUGCUGUCAGUUUUCGGCUUGACAGGGCAGUAUGUUUCGGGGUACUUUUGAUGAUGUUUUCGUAGUCCAAAUAACUUGAAAUUUUUACUGUAAUAACUUCAUCAUGUGUAGUCGUUCUCUGCAAAAUUUCAGCUAAAUCCGAGAUCAAUAGACAUGUCAAACUAUUUUCUGAAAUGUACUGCACGGAGCAGCAGAGUUCAGCGGCAGAUUCUGUCUUUGGUCAUAUAACUUCUUAUCCACUUGAGAUAUUGUGUUUUUGUAAAUUUCUGAGAAAUAUAGACGUUAAUAGCUUUCUAAAGAAGUGAGGUUUAUAUUUUUCUUUGAAGUGGUUGAUUUUAUAUAAUUUUUUCAAAGUUAGGAUUCAAAUGGGUAUGUUUCUUAAACUUGUGAUUGGUAGUUAAUGGAGAUCCUAAACUACUAAACUCAAAUUAAGGUUUUAUUGUUCUAAUUACCUAUUAAGGAUUAUUGAUUACUAAGCUUGUUAAUAUGAUAGUUGAUGGAUAUAAUUAUGUUUAUAUGAUUAAUUACUUUGGGAUUUUAUGUUUUACAUGUAUGGUUAGUUGUAAACUGAUCUCUAUGAAAUGGAUUUGUUUACUUUAAACUUUCUCAAGUAGAGGAAUUCCUAUAAGAUAGGAAUAUUAGUUUAUACUUUCUUAAAGUUCAUAAGAGUUAGUAUAUUGGUUAGUUUAGUUGAUUCAACCCUAGCUCUGCAGAAGAUUAAAAGUUUAUUGGGAUGUUAUUUAUAGCUAAUUCUUCUUAUCUAGUUAUCCAAUCUUAUUUUAGAAUCUUGCUAUUAUGAAGGUGACAAUAGCAAUGAUAGAUAAGUGAGCAAGAGUUCCUACACCGUUAAGCGUAUCAGGUUGAGCAGCUGAUGGAAUGGAAUGAUGUUGAGCGGGUGUUCUUUUGACAUUUCAAGAAAUGUAACCUUGAGUAUACAUCUUCAUAUGUAUAUCUCACACGUUUUUCCGCUGCAAAACACUUUGAUUAGAAUAACUCUAUGUUAUGAAGAACGCGAACACGUGUUAUUGGAUAACCCACCUUAAUCAGUUCUCCUUCAUGUGUAUGUUUUAUAAGUAUCCAAAUGAUCAUAUAUGAUCCUAGCAUCUUAUCUAUGAGUGACAUUCUCAUAUACCUUAAUGUUAAGUAAUUGUCCAUUUUCA